UAUGGCUGGUAGAAAGUAGAUCCGAUUGAAUGUUGGGCCUAUAUCACUUGAUCAGAUUGAACUUUCAGCGAGUUUGUAAAACAACAUGUUUUGAUUGAGGAGUUCUUUUGAUCGAGGAGAACUUCAACUACUGCUAGAGACAUUUGAUUGCAGCAUCAAUAUCGUUAAACUCUGAGAUGGAUAAGUGCAUGCAUUCUUUUUUGCUUUUUCUUAGAAAUUUUUGCAAUGAGAGAAUGGUAACAACAGAUUGAUUGCCAAUUUGUAUUGUGUUCUUGUUGAAGUCCUAUUACCAUUUUCAUUGAAGCAACUUCCAUGUUGUGUUGCUUUAACAUCCCUUUAAUGUUUCUGCUGCAUGCACGUGAUAAGUUCUUGGUAUCCACUCUUUUGAUUUUGUCAGUGUUAAGCAUCUUAGCAUGAUGUUUCUGUUUAACUUGGAAUACGUGUAGGAUGCUGAGAAUGCCGCACCAGAAACUAAGCAAAGCAAUCAUGUAAUCAGAAAACAGCAAAAGCGUACUGAGGGUGAUAAACUUGAUCCUCAUGUUGAAGAACAGUUUAGUGGUGGAAGAUUUUUGGCUUGCAUCACAUCUCACCCUGGUCAAUGUGGGCAAGCUGAUGGGUUACUCUUCUGCAUUCAGCGCUGUGUACAAUCAUCGAUCCCCUUUUCAUUUAUCAGUGGCGCUUAGGCUACAGAUACGUACUCGAGAGCAAGGAGCGAGAAUUUUACAUGAAAAUGAUCUAGAGGAAGAAAGGCAACUGGUAUUUCUGCUUGAACAGCUGCUCUGUCCUAGAUUUUGCCCUCUCUACCAAGUUAGGUAUAUCGUGUUUUUGAGGUAGAAAAUUGAAAACAUUGAAGUUGUUGAUUUAACUGAAAGGAUUUUGUGAGAGAUUGAGGGCAUCUUUACUUUUGCUCUAUCAAGCAUCUUUAUAUUGGAUAAUUGUUUUCUUAGGUUUGUGCUUUGUUUUCAACUACACAUGAUGGAGUUUCAUGAUCCUUUAAUGAAUUCAUUAAAAACUUGUUCCAUGGUUAGUGAUCUAUCCCCAUGGCAAGGAUCGAUUUCAUGGUAUGAUCUUUGUUCUGUUGUGUCAUUUUUAUCUGGAUCACUCUGUUUCAGAAUAUCUAUCAUGGAGAUCACAUUCCCUUGGAUAGAAGCACUACUCCCACCUCAAAAUUUGAGACUUUGGCUAAAAGGAUAACUGAAGUGAAAGAAAUUUGCAUAUUAGCUCUGCCUCUGACACUCAUGUGAUCUUUCUAUUUUCAGUCCAACUGUUUUGCACUCUGAGCCAAUGGUUGCAGUAGGACACUGGCUUAGAUAGCCCUUGGGCUGCUUAUAAUGUUGCAGUCAUCUGAUAUUCAUGGGAUCUCUCUCGCUCUGUUACUGCUUGGACUCAUUUUAUAAUCAUGUGUUCUCUCUCACUCAGUUACUGCUUGAGCAGCGACCAUGACUGGCAUCCCCUAUCCUUUGUCACUUUCUUUAUGAUUGGAAAUUUGAGAUUUGUAUGGUGUUUCAUUGUCCAUCGGUAACACUGUCACAUGAAAAACAGCACCUAAUUGACAUAAUAUGACCUGUGCAUCUAGACAAUAUCUAUAAAUUUGAACCUUUUCUGCUGAGAGGAACAAGACUGCCUUCUCAGAAUAAAUUCUAGUAAAAAUAAGAUCAGUAGCUCAUGGUUUUACUUGAUUCAGCUUGUCAAAGACUCAACUUUAAUUUGUUCGUUGAGAAAACUUCCAUAACAUGAGAUGGUUGUGUAUAAACGAUCAAGAUUGUGCCUUCACAUUACAUGGGCUAAGUUCCAAGCAGUAUAAUCUGUAUCAGCUUGUGAAUUUUAAGACUGUAUUCUUUACUUGUACAUUUGCCUAUAAUACAGAUGCGUUAUGUUCUUUGUGAAGCUGCAGUCUGCAUCUCUUUUCCUUACUGCAAUAAUAAGUGGUAGUAAACAUGAUCAGGUUUGUUUUCAAACUUGGAAGUUCACUUCAAAUAAUAAGGUUGUCACACGAUUUGGAAAUUCAACGUGUUGACUUUUUUUUUUCAAAUUUAUGAAAUUGUGUGAGUAUCUAAACUUUACAUUGCAGGAAGCCAUAGAAUGGACAUAAUGAUACCAAAUGGGCAUAAUGGUACCCACAGUUGCUACUUGCGAAGCUGGUGCUUGCAUCGAUCAUAUGCAUAUGAUUGAAUUGAGAAAGAGGAUCACUCAUCAAGACAUUAUUUUUUGCACAUGAUUUAAUUCCUUGAGAAUUGUGAGGAUUUAGAAACAUAUUGUGCUUCAGGACCUCUUUUCUCCCUAUUGACUUGAUUGAGAAGGGUAGAAGAAAGAGCGCAAGGAAGAAGAAGACGACGGAGGUGCUGGGCGGCGAAGAGAAGACGGAGGUGGUGCCGGUGGCGGUGGUGACGACGGCGACUGAGGCGGCGGCACUUGGGAACACCGGGCACGUCCCGUCGACCUUGAGCUACCGGAUUCGAGGCUUGAGGCAUUUUGAAGAGUUUGUGAGCGCGCCACAGGUACCAUGAUUACCACCACUAUGUUGGAGGACUGAGCCAAAGCAAUUUCGCUUCUAUUUUUACAUACUGUGACUACAUCUACGGAACUGAUAAGGGUUAUCGGUACCAUCGGUAUCAGAAAGCACAGCUAGGAAAGAUGAAAAAUAUCUCGUUUGGAUAAGUAAAUGGAAAAUCUAACAAAGCAGACCAGGACCCAAAAUCUCAGUAAUGAUACCUGGAGCGGAGGCUGUUCAAAUGUCUUGCUACCUGUUCUUGAAGUUUGGCCCAGUCGUCCGUCCUUUUUGUAUCUGUUUAAUGUUUUCAGCAUUGUAUGUCCUGUAGCGCAAAACUGUUGUUUCAAACUGUUCCAGUUUAAAUAUAUAGAUGGCUUCUCAGUUAUCAUUG